UACGGGGGGAGCAAGCGUUGUUCGGAUUUACUGGGCGUAAAGGGCGCGUAGGCGGUUGCGCGCGUGGGGUGUGAAAUCUGGCCGCUUAACGGCCAGGCGCCAUCCCAUACGGCGCGACUGGAGUGAUGCAGAGGUCGAUGGAAUUGCCGGUGUAGUGGUGAAAUGCGUAGAGAUCGGCAGGAACACCCAGGGGGAAACCAGUCGACUGGGCAUCUACUGACGCUGAGGUGCGAGAGCGUGGGGAGCGAACCGG
rnacentral:rRNA from 1 species